CUGACCUGCUCAAACUGGUCCUGGUCAGUCAGUACACACACACACACCCACACACGUACUGAGGAGGAGAAGAUCCCCGCUGCUGACCUGCUCAAACUGGUCCUGGUCAGUCAGUACACACACACCACACACACGUACUGAGGAGGAGAAGAUCCACGCUGCUGACCUGCUCAAACUGGUCCUGGUCAGUCAUACACACACACACACACACCACGUACUGAGGAGGAGAGAUCCACGCUGCUGACCUGCUCAAACUGGUCCUGGUCAGUCAGUACACAACACACAACACACACCACACACACACACACAUACAUACUGAGGAGGAGGAGGAGAAGGUCACACUACUGACCUGAUCAAAUAUGUCCAAAUUACUCGGUGCUGUAGUAUUCUGUUACUCUGGUGCUGUAGUGUCUGUUACUCAGGUGCUGUAGUAUUCUGUUACUCAGGUGGCUGUAGUGUUCUGUUACUCAGGUGCUGUAGUGUUCUGUUUACUCAGGUGCUGUCGUGUUCUGUUACUCAGUGCUGUAGUGUUCUUUACUCAGGUGCUGUCGUGUUCUGUUACUCAGGUGCUGUAGUGUUCUGACUCAGGUGUCUGUCGUGUGUUACUGGUGCUGUGUAUGUGUGACACCAUGUGUUUUUUUCCUCCUCAGUCACUUCAGAGUCAGAGCACCCCACUAUAGAGAACAGAAUCUGCCCCGGUGAGUCUUUCAUUUUGGCACUUUAUGGUGCUUGGAGAUAUUUCCUAGCUGUAGCAAUGAAUUGGAUAAGGAAAGGAAUGGUGAGUUGAAUAGGGAGUGUUUGUGUUUGUUCCACCUCAGUGGAUGCAGCCACCCUGUACAUCCAGGCAGUGAAGACUCCAGCCCUGCAGACUGAGGCCUCGCUCUCAGGAAACACACCGACAGGUGGGUCAGAACUAGCCGGUCCUAAUCGUAUCAUAACUAGCCUGGUCCUAGAUCCGUAUCAUAACUGCCUGGUCUUAGAUCAGAAUCAAAAUUAGCCUGGUCCUAGAUCAGUACCAUCACUAGCCUGGUCGUCAGUAUCAUAAUUAGCCUGUCCUAGAUCAGUAUCAUAACUAGCCUGGUCCUAGAUCAGUAUCAUAACUAGCCUGGUCCUAGAUCGUAUCAUAACUAGCCUGGUCCUAUCAGUAUCUAACUAGCCUGGUCUUAGAUCCGUAUCAUAA
rnacentral:lncRNA from 1 species